UAGUUUUCAGGGAUGGCAUUUUAUCUUCU
rnacentral:piRNA from 1 species